rnacentral:rRNA from 1 species
GACGAACGCUGGCGGCGCGCUUAACACAUGCAAGUCGAGCGAAGCGGCGGACGGGUGAGUAACACGUGAUUAACCUGCCUUAGACCUUGGGAUAGCCUCGGGAAACCGGGAUUAAUACCAAAUGGUCUAAGAUGGACUCGCGUCCCAUUAGAUAGUUGGUGGGGUAACGGCCUACCAAGACGACGAGCAGUAACCGGCAUGGGAGGGAGAACGGUGACAUUUGCACUGAGACACGGUCGAAACUACUACGCAAGGGAGCAGUGGGGAAUCUUGCACAAGGGGGGGUACCAUGAUGCCGUGAGGCCUGUAGAGCGAUGACGGUUUGCGAAUCGUAAAUGUCUGUCAUAUGGGCAGCGUUACCAUAGGAGGAAGCCCCGGCUAACUACGUGCCAGCAGCCGCGGUAAUAC